CCGCCCUUCCCGCCCCUCAGGGCGCGGCCCCUCAGGCGCCUUCGCCCCGCUCCGCCCCGACCCCGCGGUGUCGGUAAUUCACCCUCGCGGGGCUCCUUCGAGAUGUUGGGGGGCUGUGCUGUGCUCCUAGGUUCAGGUGAUGGAGGCAAAACACUGCAGGCAGCCACGCGGUGGGACCUGGCUGGGAGGGGUCACAACGGUGUAACGCGUACACAGCGGUGUGAGGCUGGGGGCGCUGCCACUGAGGUCAGAUGUUGGCCUGGUCUUCUGUCUCAUCCCCAACCCAGCCUGAAAACGUCCCUGAAAAUGUCCUACAGGUAGUCCAGAGUUCCUGGAAACAGAGGAUGUCUCGUGGCAGGCACUGCAGUGCCACGCUGAGCUGCCCAGACCCACACUCCAGCCCUGACAGCAGCACCCCAGAACCUUCCAGCUUGGAGAAAACCUCCCAGAGCAUCGAGUUCAACCUGGGAUUAAUCCCAUUUUCAACAAGUGCUGUCUGCAGUCAUUCCUGGGUCAUCCAGACACGGUGA
rnacentral:lncRNA from 1 species